UUAACCGUAAAAUAGCCAUUGAUACUGUUGUUCUUGAGUUCGGCUGAGGUAGGCGGAAUGAGUAAUGUAGCGGUGAAAUGCUUAGAUAUUACUCAGAACACCGAUUGCGUAGGCAGCUUACCAAACCGACACUGACGCUGAGGCACGAAAGCGUGGGGAGCGAACAGGAUUAGAUACCCUGGUAGUCCACGCCGUAAACGUUGAUUACUCGUUGUUGGCAAUACAUCGUCAGCGACUGAGCGAAAGCAUUAAGUAAUCCACCUGGGGAGUACGUCAGCAAUGAUGAAACUCAAAGGAAUUGACGGGGGCCCGCACAAGCGGAGGAACAUGUGGUUUAAUUCGAUGAUACGCGAGGAACCUUACCUGGGCUUAAAUGUAGAGUGCAUAGAGUGGAAACAUUCUUUUCCUUCGGGACUCUUUACAAGGUGCUGCAUGGUUGUCGUCAGCUCGUGCCGUGAGGUGUCGGGUUAAGUCCCAUAACGAGCGCAACCCUCAUUGCCAGUUGCCAUCACAUCAUGGUGGGGACUCUGGUGAAACUGCCGGUGCAAACCGUGAGGAAGGUGAGGAUGACGUCAAAUCAGCACGGCCCUUAUGUCCAGGGCUACACACGUGUUACAAUGGUCGGUACAACGGGCAGCUACACAGCGAUGUGGUGCUAAUCCCAAAAACCGAUCUUAGUUCGGAUCGGAGUCUGCAACUCGACUCCGUGAAGCUGGAUUCGCUAGU
rnacentral:rRNA from 1 species